rnacentral:rRNA from 1 species
ACAUGCCUACAUCAUAGCAUUAAUGCAUCAGAUCCCAUUAGAACUCCGCAGUUAAGAACACUCAGGCUAGAGUAGCAUUGGUAUGGGUGACCACUUGAGAUGUCCUAGUGUUUUAAAUGCC